rnacentral:rRNA from 1 species
UGGGGAAUAUUGGACAAUGGGCGAAAGCCUGAUCCAGCCAUGCCGCGUGUGUGAAGAAGGUCUUCGGAUUGUAAAGCACUUUAAGUUGGGAGGAAGGGCUGCAAGUUAAUACCUUGUAGUUUUGACGUUACCAACAGAAUAAGCACCGGCUAACUUCGUGCCAGCAGCCGCGGUAAUACGAAGGGUGCAAGCGUUAAUCGGAAUUACUGGGCGUAAGGCGCGCGUAGGUGGUUUGGUAAGAUGGAUGUGAAAUCCCCGGGCUCAACCUGGGAACUGCAUCCAUAACUGCCUGACUAGAGUACGGUAGAGNGUGGUGGAAUUUCCUGUGUAGCGGUGAAAUGCGUAGAUAUAGGAAGGAACACCAGUGGCGAAGGCGACCACCUGGACUGAUACUGACACUGAGGUGCGAAAGCGUGGGGAGCAAACA